AUGGAAUUGACUUUGACAUUGAAGGAGGAGCAUACCUGUACUGGGAUGAUCUUGCAAGGUACCUUUCAGCAUAUAGCAAAAAAGGAAAGAAAGUGUACUUGACUGUAGCUCCUCAGUGUCCAUUCCCUGAUUAUUGGGUAGGAAAUGCACUGAAGACUGGUCUUUUUGAUUAUUUUUGGGUUCAAUUCUACAACAAUCCUCCUUGCCAAUACUCCUCUGGUGAUGUUACUAAUCCUGAAGAUGCUUGGAAGCAAUGGAGUUCAGACAUUCCAGCCAACAAGAUUUUCUUGGGUUUACCUGCAUCUCCUGAAACAGCAGGAAGUGGCUUCAUUCCUGUACCUGAU
rnacentral:misc_RNA from 1 species